rnacentral:rRNA from 1 species
GACGAACGCUGGCGGCGUGCCUAAUACAUGCAAGUCGAACGCAGUGGGGACGGGUGAGUAACAUGUGGGUAACCUCCCAUCAGAGGGGAUAACACUUGGAAACAGGUGCUAAACCGAUACUGAUGGAUGGACCCGCGGUGCAUUAGCUAGUUGGUGAGGUAACGGCUCACCAAGGCCACGAUGCAUAGCGGAGCUGAGAGGUUGUUCGGCAACACUGGGACUGAAACACGGCCCAGACUAAUAAGGGAGGCAGCAGUAGGGAAUCUUCGGCAAUGGUCGAAAAUCUGACCGGGCAACGCCGCGUGGGUGAAGAAGUUUUUCGGAUCGUAAAACUCUUUUGUUGGAGAAGCGGUAUUUAACCAGAAAGCCACGGCUAACUACGUGCCAGCAGCCGCGGUAAUAC